UACAGAGGGUGCAAGCGUUGUUCGGAAUUAUUGGGCGUAAAGCGCGUGUAGGCGGCAGGGCAUGUCGGGUGUGAAAUCCCUCGGCUUAACCGAGGAAGUGCGCCCGAAACUACCUUGCUUGAGUACCGGAGAGGAUGGCGGAACUCCCGGUGUAGAGGUGAAAUUCGUAGAUAUCGGGAAGAACACCAGUGGCGAAGGCGGCCAUCUGGACGGAUACUGACGCUGAGACGCGAAAGCGUGGGGAGCAAACAGG
rnacentral:rRNA from 1 species